rnacentral:rRNA from 1 species
AAAAUUUGAUCCUGGCUCAGGAUGAACGCUAGCGGCAGGCUUAACACAUGCAAGUCGAGGGGCAGCAUGGGACUUCGGUUCUGAUGGCGACCGGCGGACGGGUGCGUAACGCGUAUAGAACCCGCCCUUUACUGGGGGACAGCUACCGGAAACGGUAAUUAAUACCCCAUAUCUUUUUGAACCGCAUGGUUCGAUCAGGAAAGCUCCGGCGGUAAAGGACGGCUAUGCGUACCAUUAGCUAGUUGGCGGGGUAAUAGCCCACCAAGGCUACGAUGGUUAGGGGUUCUGAGAGGAAGGCCCCCCACACUGGGACUGAGACACGGCCCAGACUCCUACGGGAGGCAGCAGUGAGGAAUAUUGGUCAAUGGGCGAAAGCCUGAACCAGCCAUGCCGCGUGAAGGAUGACUGCUUUCUGAGUUGUAAACUUCUUUUAAACGGGAGGAACUGCGCUAUGUGUAGCGCGCUGACAGUACCGUUUGAAUAAGCAUCGGCUAACUCCGUGCCAGCAGCCGCGGUAAUACGGAGGAUGCGAGCGUUAUCCGGAUUCACUGGGCUUAAAGGGUGCGCAGGCUGUUUUUUAAGUCGGCGGUGAAAUACCGGGGCUUAACCCCGGCGCUGCCGCCGAAACUGAAAGACUUGAGUCACUUUGACGUUUCCGGAAUUGGACAAGUAGCGGUGAAAUGCACAGAUAUGUCCAGGAACACCGAUUGUGUAGGCAGGAAACGAAGAGUGUACUGACGCUGAGGCACGAAAGCGCGGGUAGCGAACAGGAUUAGAUACCCUGGUAGUCCGCGCCGUAAACGAUGAUAGCUGGGUUUUUGGGAGCAAUCUUGAGAGCCUGAGGGAAACCGUUAAGCUAUCCGCCUGGGGAGUACGCCCGCAAGGGUGAAACUCAAAGGAAUUGACGGGGGCCCGCACAAGCGGUGGAACAUGUGGUUUAAUUCGAUGAUACGCGAGGAACCUUACCCGGGCUUAAAUGGGGAGUGCAUAAGUCAGAGAUGAUUUUUUCCGCAAGGACUCUCCUCAAGGUGCUGCAUGGUUGUCGUCAGCUCGUGCCGUGAGGUGUCGGGUUAAGUCCCAUAACGAGCGCAACCCCUGCCGCCAGUUGCCAUCAGGUAAUGCUGGGGACUCUGGCGGGACUGCCAUCGCAAGAUGCGAGGAAGGCGGGGAUGACGUCAAAUCAGCACGGCCCUUACGUCCGGGGCUACACACGUGUUACAAUGGGCGGGACAGCGGGAAGCGAUCUAGUGAUAGUGAGCUGAUCCUGAAACCCGUUCCCAGUUCGGAUAGGAGUCUGCAACCCGACUCCUUGAAGCCGGAAUCGCUAGUAAUCGCGUAUCAGCAAUGACGCGGUGAAUACGUUCCCGGGCCUUGUACACACCGCCCGUCAAGCCAUGGAAGCUGGGGGUGCCUGAAGGCUGUCGCCGUGAGGAGCGGCCUAGGGUAAAACCGGUAACUGGGGCUAAGUCGUAACAAGGUA